rnacentral:rRNA from 1 species
UACGUAGGAGGCGAGCGUUGUCCGGAGUUACUGGGCGUAAAGGGCUCGUAGGCGGCCAACUAAGUCAUACGUGAAAUCCCUCGGCUUAACCGGGGAACUGCGUCUGAUACUGGAUGGCUUGAGUUCGGGAGAGGGAUGCGGAAUUCCAGGUGUAGCGGUGAAAUGCGUAGAUAUCUGGAGGAACACCGGUGGCGAAGGCGGCAUCCUGGACCGAUACUGACGCUGAGGAGCGAAAGCCAGGGGAGCAAAGCGGG